rnacentral:piRNA from 1 species
UUCCUACAUACCCUUAUUCUCCCUCAAAC